UGAGGAAUAUUGCACAAUGGGCGCAAGCCUGAUGCAGCAACGCCGCGUGCGGGACGAAGGCCUUCGGGUCGUAAACCGCUUUUCUGGGGAAAGAGCAAGGACGGUACCUCAGGAAUAAGUCUCGGCUAACUACGUGCCAGCAGCCGCGGUAAAACGUAGGAGGCGAGCGUUAUCCGGAUUUACUGGGCGUAAAGCGCACGCAGGCGGCUCUGUGAGUCGGACGUGAAAGCUCCCGGCUUAACCGGGAGAGGCCGUUCGAUACUGCGGGGCUUGAGGUAGGGGGAGGAAUGCGGAAUUCCCGGUGUAGUGGUGGAAUGCGUAGAUAUCGGGAGGAACACCUGUGGCGAAGCGGCAUUCUGGCCCUCACCCGACGCUGAGGUGCGAAAGCGUGGGUAGCAAACAG
rnacentral:rRNA from 1 species